UACGGGGGGGCAAGCGUUGUUCGGAAUUCCUGGGCGUAAAGGGCUUGUAGGCGGCCAACUAAGUCAGACGUGAAAUCCCUCGGCUUAACCGGGGAACUGCGUCUGAUACUGGAUGGCUUGAGUUCGGGAGAGGGAUGCGGAAUUCCAGGUGUAGCGGUGAAAUGCGUAGAUAUCUGGAGGAACACCGGUGGCGAAGGCGGCAUCCUGGACCGACACUGACGCUGAAAAGCGAAAGCCAGGGGAGCAAACGGG
rnacentral:rRNA from 1 species